rnacentral:rRNA from 1 species
UGGCUCAGAACGAACGCUGGCGGCGUGCUUAACACAUGCAAGUCGAGCGAUGAAGCACCUUCGGGUGUGGAUUAGCGGCGAACGGGUGAGGAACACGUGAGGAAUCUGCCUUCCACUCUGGGAUAACUCCGGGAAACCGGGGCUAAUACCGGAUACUUUCAACUGGCGGCAUCGCCGGUUGAAGAAAGUUUUUCGGUGGAAGAUGACCUCGCGGCCUAUCAGCUUGUUGGUUUUGUAAUGGCUCACCAGGNCAACGACGGGUAGCCGGCCUGAGAGGGCGACCGGCCAC